rnacentral:rRNA from 1 species
UACGUAGGUGGCAAGCGUUGUUCGGAUUCACUGGGCGUAAAGGGUGCGCAGGUGGUUGGCAAGUUUGAUGUGAAAGCCCCGGGCUUAACCCGGGAAUGGCAUUGAAUACUGCUGAUCUGGAGGAUUGGAGGGGGGACUGGAAUUCUUGGUGUAGCAGUGAAAUGCGUAGAUAUCAAGAGGAACACCAGUGGCGAAGGCGAGUCCCUGGACAAUACCUGACACUGAGGCACGAAAGCUAGGGGAGCAAACAGG